AGUUCCAAAACUAACACUUGGCCCAUUUCUAACACUGAGUGUUAGAAAUGAGCCAAGUGUUAUUUUUUUUUAACUAAUAUCCCCUGGACUGUCCUUGUGUUUUCAAGUGACCCUCCAUUUAAAGAGAUUAUGCUUGCUUGUAUGCCUGGCUGGUUGCUAAUCUAUCUUCUUGUUCUAACCAUUUUAUCAUUCACUUCGUCCUCACCUUCUUAUUUUUACAAAGGAAAACUGAUAAAAUGUCCUCCCUGUCCUAUACUUGGAACUAAUUGCACUCUGCAAGGGGGUUGUGAAUAUUGUAAUGGUACUGGAGAUUGCUCUAAUGAAGGAACAUGUCUUCUUCAAUUU